AACGAACGCUGGCGGCAUGCCUAACACAUGCAAGUCGAACGAGACCUUCGGGUCUAGUGGCGCACGGGUGCGUAACGCGUGGGAACCUGCCCUUAGGUUCGGAAUAACUCCCCGAAAGGGGUGCUAAUACCGGCUAAUGUCUUCGGACCAAAGAUUUAUCGCCGUUGGAUGGGCCCGCGUUGGCUUAGCUAGUUGGUAGGGUAAAAGCCUACCAAGGCGACGAUCCAUAGCUGGUCUGAGAGGAUGAUCAGCCACACUGGUACUGAGACACGGCCCAGAAUCCUACGGGAGGCAGCAGUGGGGAAUAUUGGACAAUGGGCGAAAGCCUGAUCCAGCAAUGCCGCGUGAGUGAUGAAGGCCUUAGGGUUGUAAAGCUCUUUUACCCGGGAUGAUAAUGACAGUACCGGGAGAAUAAGCUCCGGCUAACUCCGUG
rnacentral:rRNA from 1 species